rnacentral:rRNA from 1 species
UACAGAGACCUCAAGCGUUAUCCGGAAUCAUUGGGCGUAAAGCGUACCGAUAGGUGGUGUAUCAAGUCAGAAGUGAAAUUCCAAAGCUUAACUUUGGGACUGUCUUUUGAAACUGAUACACUAGAGGGGCAAAGAGGAAGCUGGAACAAACGGUGUAGUAGUGAAAUGCGUUGAUAUCGUUUGGAACACCAAUAGCGUAGGCAGGCUUCUGGGUGCCACCUGACACUGCUAGGACGAAAGCGUGGGGAGCGAAUGGG